rnacentral:lncRNA from 1 species
AUCCACUCAGCUGUUCUAGCCAGGGUAUAGUUAGUAGAAAGGAACCUUCGUAUUUUUUCUCCAGUAAUGGGAAAUUCCAUACCUCUGAUUUUACACCACAGGCCAGCACCCCCUAUAGCAGUUCGACAUAACAAGAGGCCUAGGCUAGUGACUCAGGCUUUUCCUCAGGCUUUGGCAACAGGACAUAGUAGGAUUUGCUAGUAAUGUGGCAAUGAUCAUUGGGACCAAU